UUGGUCAUUUAGAGGAAGUAAAAGUCGUAACAAGGUUACUUCUGAGCGCAGCUCCGGAGACCUUGCAACCCCACGGGGAGGCAGCACGACAGUAAUAAAGCUACCGCUUGCAAGUUGGCGAAGGCCAGCGACACAAUCGAAUGCGGGGACCUCCUAAAGCCUGUAACACCAACCGUCCGGGGAAACCUGGGGGGGCCCUCACGGGGUGGUAAGAGAGUACAGGAUGCUACAAUGGACGAUCGCAGCGAAGACCCUACCGGCAAGAGCCCACGGGUACCGUUCACAGACUAGUGAUUGUGGGUGGGGUGCUCGGCACCCCUCUAAGAUAUAGUCGGCCUUGUCCUAAUAGAUGGAGCCCUAGCGCGUCCGUAGGUGAACCUGCGGAAGAUCAUUAUUGAAAAAGACUAGACGCCCCGUUUUUUCAUAAAAUGGGUUCAUACCCACAACCGUGUAUACCUUACCUUUGUUGCUUUGGCAGGCCGCCUCGGGCGUCGGCUCCGGCUGACAGCGCCUGCCAGAGGACCCAAACUCUGUUUUAGUGAUGUCUGAGUAAUAUAUAAUAUUUAAAACUUUCAACAACGGACUCUUGGUUCUGGCAUCGAUGAAGAACGCAGCGAAAUGCGAUAAGUAAUUGAAUUGCAGAAUUCAGUGAAUCAUCGAAUCUUUGAACGCACAUUGCGCCCUUGGUAUUCUGAGGGGCAUACCUGUUCGAGCGUCAUUAUAACCACUCAGCCUAGCUUGGUAUUGGGGUUCGCGUGCUCGCGGCCCUUAAAAUCAGUGCGGUGCCGUCUGGCUCUAAGCGUAGUAAAUCUCUCGCUAUUGAGUCCGUGGUUGCUUGCCAAAACCCCCCACUUUCUUAGGUUGACCUCGGAUCAGGAGGGAUACCCGCUGAACUUAAGCAUAUCAAUAAGCGGAGGAAAGGUUAG
rnacentral:rRNA from 1 species